ACAUAAACUCGAAACAAAACAUCUACCUGCAGUAGGAGCACCUCUAGCUCAGCACGUCGGGUAGGGCUCUAACUCGCGAUGCCCUUACCUCGAUCCUGAUCCGCGGAAGGCGCAGCAGCCGAAACCUGUGGCUCUGCAAAACAGGGGUAACAACUGGGCGUGAGAACUACUGUAAAAACAAGUAGUCCUCAGUGGGUACCGUCCAAAACAAUAUCGGUCCAUCCACUAAGUCUACAGAAGGGAGCAAGAAUAGCCAAAAAGCAGGAAAUAAACUCAACCGCUACAAAUCACUAUACUAUCAUGCUCUACACUAACCAACUGUAGGAAAUGUCAAAUCUGACCCAAUCCAAUCGGAACUGUAGACAUACCCGUCCCUGGGACUGUGAACACACCCGUCCCU
rnacentral:lncRNA from 1 species